rnacentral:misc_RNA from 1 species
GGAAAUAAAAGUCGUACAAGGUCUCCGUUGGUGAACCAGCGGAGGGAUCAUUACAGAGUUGCAAAACUCCCAAACCAUUGUGAACGUUACCUAUCCCGUUGCUUCGGCGGGCGGCCCGGGCCCCGCGCCCGGCGCCCCCCGGCCCCCCGUGGGCGCCCGCCGGAGGUAAACCAAACCCUUGAAUUGCAUGGCCUCUCUGAGUCUUCUGUACUGAAUAAGUCAAAACUUUCAACAACGGAUCUCUUGGUUCUG